rnacentral:rRNA from 1 species
CAAGAUUAAGCCAUGCAUGUGCAAGUUCAUACUAUAAAACACGGUGAGACCGCGAAUGGCUCAUUAGAUCAGUCUUGGUUCCUUAGACGGAAAGCGUACCUGGAUAACUGUGGCAAUUCUAGAGCUAAUACAUGCGAAAAAGCUCCGACCUUCGGGGACGAGCGCAGUUAUUAGACCAAGACCUAACUCGAACACUUGGUGACUCUGGAUAACCUCGGGCUGACCGCGCGGACAACGAUCUGGCGGUGCAUCUUUCAAGUGUCUGACCCAUCAACUUUCGACGGUAGGCGACAUGCUUACCGUGGUCGUUACGGGUAACGGGGAAUCAGGGUUCGAUUCCGGAGAGGGAGCAUGAGAAACGGCUACCACCUCCAAGGAAG